AUUGAACGCUGGCGGCAUGCCUUACACAUGCAAGUCGAACGGCAGCGCGGACUUCGGUCUGGCGGCGAGUGGCGAACGGGUGAGUAAUACAUCGGAACGUACCCUGUUGUGGGGGAUAACUAGUCGAAAGAUUAGCUAAUACCGCAUACGACCUGAGGGUGUAAGUGGGGGAUCGCAAGGCCUCACGCAGCAGGAGCGGCCGAUGUCUGAUUAGCUAGUUGGUGGGGUAAAGGCCCACCAAGGCGACGAUCAGUAGCUGGUCUGAGAGGACGAUCAGCCACACUGGAACUGAGACACGGCCCAGACUCCUACGGGAGGCAGCAGUGGGGAAUUUUGGACAAUGGGGGCAACCCUGAUCCAGCAAUGCCGCGUGUGUGAAGAAGGCCUUCGGGUUGUAAAGCACUUUUGUCCGGAAAGAAAUCGCGCUGGUUAAUACCUGGCGUGGAUGACGGUACCGGAAGAAUAAGCACCGGCUAACUACGUG
rnacentral:rRNA from 1 species